rfam:Freshwater sediment metagenome lwMethane_BCGO30569_x1, whole genome shotgun sequence.
GGUGGAAGGCCCACCGAAGUCUGCUGUCGGAAGCUGGCUUCAAACCACCUCAAGCUGCUUGUAUUAAGAGUGCAGGUAGUGAGCGUUGAGGAAACGUUAAUUCAUAUUAGCAGGU